rnacentral:rRNA from 1 species
ACUCCUACGGGAGGCAGCAGUAGGGAAUAUUCCGCAAUGGGCGAAAGCCUGACGGAGCGACGCCGCGUGCAGGAGGAAGGCCUUCGGGUUGUAAACUGCUUUUACGAGUGACGACUUCGACAGUAGCUCGUGAAUAAGGGUCUGCUAACUACGUGCCAGCAGCCGCGGUAAU